rnacentral:rRNA from 1 species
UACGUAGGGAGCGAGCGUUGUCCGGAUUUAUUGGGCGUAAAGAGCUUGUAGGCGGUCUGUCGCGUCUGCUGUGAAAAUCCGGGGCUCAACCCCGGACUUGCAGUGGGUACGGGCAGACUAGAGUGUGGUAGGGGAGACUGGAAUUCCUGGUGUAGCGGUGAAAUGCGCAGAUAUCAGGAGGAACACCGAUGGCGAAGGCAGGUCUCUGGGCCACUACUGACGCUGAGAAGCGAAAGCAUGGGGAGCGAACAGG